UAGGGAAUCUUCCGCAAUGGACGCAAGUCUGACGGAGCAACGCCGCGUGAGUGAAGAAGGUUUUCGGAUCGUAAAACUCUGUUGUAAGAGAAGAACAAAUUGUAGAGUAACUGCUACAGUCUUGACGGUAUCUUACCAGAAAGCCACGGCUAACUACGUGCCAGCAGCCGCGGUAAUACGUAGGUGGCAAGCGUUGUCCGGAAUUAUUGGGUUUAAAGGGAGCGUAGGCCGUUUGGUAAGCGUGUUGUGAAAUGUAGGAGCUCAACUUCUAGAUUGCAGCGCGAACUGUCAGACUUGAGUGCGCACAACGUAGGCGGAAUUCAUGGUGUAGCGGUGAAAUGCUUAGAUAUCAUGAAGAACUCCGAUUGCGAAGGCAGCUUACGGGAGCGCAACUGACGCUGAAGCUCGAAGGUGCGGGUAUCGAACAGG
rnacentral:rRNA from 1 species